AUUGAACGCUAGCGGCAUGCCUUACACAUGCAAGUCGAACGGAGCGGCGAACGGGUGAGUAAUGCAUCGGAACGUGCCCAGUAGUGGGGGAUAACUACCGGAAACGGUCGCUAAUACCGCAUACUAUCAGAGCGGCCUAGAUCGGAUUAGCUAGUUGGUGGGGUAACGGCCUACCAAGGCGACGAUCCGUAACUGGUGUGAGAGGAUGAUCAGUCACACUGGAACUGAGACACGGCCCAGACUCCUACGGGAGGCAGCAGUGGGGAAUAUUGGACAAUGGGCGAAAGCCUGAUCCAGCCAUCCCGCGUGUGUGAAGAAGGUCUUCGGAUUGUAAAGCACUUUAAGUUGGGAGGCGGUACCAACAGAAUAAGCACCGGCUAACUUCGUGCCAGCCGCCGCGGUAAUAC
rnacentral:rRNA from 1 species